AGUCAAUUUGCAUACGUGGACUGACACGUGGCACUUUGACACGCUGACACGUGUACUGUUCAAACGGUGUUAGUGACAAAACUAACAGAAAGGACUAACUUGAAACAUAAAAUAAACGUAAGGGACCAAAUUGAUACUUUUUAAACGUAAGGGACCAAAUUGAAACCUAAAAUAAACGUAAGGGACCAAAUGUGUAGUUAA
rnacentral:lncRNA from 1 species